rnacentral:rRNA from 1 species
GGGAUAAGCGGAAGAAAUUCCGUCUAAUACCGCGUAAUAACUCCGAGAGGCAUCUCCUGGGGUUUAAAGGGUAACACCGGCUACGGAUGGCCAUGCGGCGCAUUAGCUAGUUGGCGGGGUAACGGCCCACCAAGGCGACGAUGCGUAGGGGUUCUGAGAGGAAGGUCCCCCACACUGGUACUGAGACACGGACCAGACUCCUACGGGAGGCAGCAGUGAGGAAUAUUGGUCAAUGGGCGCGAGCCUGAACCAGCCAAGUCGCGUGAGGGAAGACGGUCCUAUGGAUUGUAAACCUCUUUUGUCGGGGAGCAAAAGACGCCACGCGUGGCGUUCCGAGAGUACCCGAAGAAAAAGCAUCGGCCAACUCCGUGCCAGCAGCCGCGGUAAUACGGAGGAUGCGAGCGUUAUCCGGAUUUAUUGGGUUUAAAGGGUGCGCAGGCGGAAGAUCAAGUCAGCGGUAAAAUUGAGAGGCUCAACCUCUUCGAGCCGUUGAAACUGGUUUUCUUGAGUGAGCGAGAAGUAUGCGGAAUGCGUGGUGUAGCGGUGAAAUGCAUAGAUAUCACGCAGAACUCCGAUUGCGAAGGCAGCAUACCGGCGCUCAACUGACGCUCAUGCACGAAAGUGUGGGUAUCGAACAGGAUUAGAUACCCUGGUAGUCCACACAGUAAACGAUGAAUACUAAUUGUUCGGG